rnacentral:rRNA from 1 species
CCUACGGGGGGCAGCAGUGGGGGAUAUUGCACAAUGGGGGAAACCCUGAUGCAGCGACGCCGCGUGGGUGAAGAAGCGCCUCGGCGCGUAAAGCCCUGUCAGCAGGGAAGAAAAUGACGGUACCUGAAGAAGAAGCCCCGGCUAACUACGUGCCAGCAGCCGCGGUAAUACGUAGGGGGCAAGCGUUAACCGGAUUUACUGGGUGUAAAGGGGGCGCAGACGGGGAUGCAAGCCAGGAGUGAAAGCCCGGGGCCCAACCCCGGGACUGCUCUUGGAACUGCGUGGCUAGAGUGCAGGAGGGGCAGGCGGAAUGCGUGGUGUAGCGGUGAAAUGCGUAGAUAUCAGGAGGAACACCGGUGGCGAAGGCGGCCUGCUGGACUGCAACUGACGUUGAGGCCCGAAAGCGUGGGGAGCAAACAGGAUUAGAUACCCCUGUAGUC